rnacentral:lncRNA from 1 species
GUGGAAUUCCAUGUUGUGAGGAACUGUGGGUAACUUCGAGGAGGUGAGAGCAACAGCAUGAAGUCUUUUAGCAAUAGCUUCCUCCAACAGAGGCUUGGAAGAGAUCAUAGUCUGGGUGAGAUCUUGACUGCAGCCUGUGAGACCCUAUGCAGAGGACCCUUCAUCCCAUGCUUAGGCUCCUAAUCUGGAAAUUGGCUCGGUAAACAGGGGGCCAGGGUCCUGGUGCCGAAGGAAUCCAUUUGUAGAGCUCGUGCCAGCUCCACCUGCAGCUGCCUCCCCAGCUCUGACACCACAGCCAGAGGCAGCGCCAGGAACCCCUUCUCCACCAGCUGCACAGCUGGGGAUCCUGGUGGUUGCACGGCGGGCAUCAGCUCCUGAGCUCCAGAAGGGGCAAGCUCCUGCCCCACCCCUGCCAUUCCCCUCCAUUACUCUUGGUCAUGUUUUGGCAUAUAUUUUUGCUCUUAUUUUCUG